rnacentral:SRP_RNA from 1 species
AGGCGGGCCCUGUGCGGCGGGACACCGUGAAUCAUGUCAGGCGGGGAACCGAGCAGCAUUAAGCGGCUGCGCCCGCGCGCCGCAGGUCAACCUGCCUGUU